CAGUAGCCACGGGAAUACGUAGGGCGCAAGCGUUAUCCGGAAUUAUUGGGCGUAAAGAGCUCGUAGGCGGUUUGUCGCGUCUGCCGUGAAAGUCCGGGGCUCAACCCCGGAUCUGCGGUGGGUACGGGCAGACUAGAGUGAUGUAGGGGAGACUGGAAUUCCUGGUGUAGCGGUGAAAUGCGCAGAUAUCAGGAGGAACACCGAUGGCGAAGGCAGGUCUCUGGGCAUUAACUGACGCUGAGGAGCGAAAGCAUGGGGAGCGAACAGGAUUAGAUACCCCCGUAGUCCCUGUCUCUUAUAA
rnacentral:rRNA from 1 species